GCUUUAUUUUAAUAAAAGUCUAUAUUUUUAAUAAAAUUCGGUUGGGGCGACCAGGGAAAUUAUUAAUCAUCCCCCAGUAAAAGAUAAAUUAAUCUAAACUCUGACCCUUAAUUAAGAUCAACAGACCAAGC
rnacentral:rRNA from 1 species